GACGAACGCUGGCGGCGUGCUUAACACAUGCAAGUCGAACGGUAAGGCCCUUCGGGGUACACGAGUGGCGAACGGGUGAGUAACACGUGGGUGAUCUGCCCUGCACUUCGGGAUAAGCCUGGGAAACUGGGUCUAAUACCGGAUAGGACCACUGCCUGCAAGGGUGGUGGUGGAAAGCUUUUGCGGUGUGGGAUGGGCCCGCGGCCUAUCAGCUUGUUGGUGGGGUGAUGGCCUACCAAGGCGACGACGGGUAGCCGGCCUGAGAGGGUGACCGGUCACACGGGGACUGGGAUCCGGCCCAGACUCCUACGGGAGGCAGCAGUGGGGAAUAUUGCACAAUGGGUGCAAGCCUGAUGCAGCGACGCCGCGUGAGGGAUGACGGCCUUCGGGUUGUAAACCUCUUUCAGCUAUGACGAAGCGCAAGUGACGGUAGUAGCAGAAGAAGGACCGGCCAACUACGUGCCAGCCGCCGCGGUUAA
rnacentral:rRNA from 1 species